UUUAUGAGUACAACCCUACAGUCCCAUAUCUUUUUAGUUCUCUGCUUCUCUUGUCAAACUAAUCCCAAGCUUAGAUUCCUCCGCCAACUUGACGAGCGACCAAUCACUUGUAAAAAUUCUCAAUUUGGUCACUAAUCAACGUGGCCUGAAAAUAAACCAGAGUCUGAAUUCUGAUCUCUAAAAUUUUCUCGUCAAAGUUGUACAAUCCCAAAUACUUUGUGUUGAUUUGAUUUCUAGAAAAAGCCACUCAUCAGAUCCUAUGUGCAUUAAAUUCCUCUCCCUUUUUCAGUGUUAAGAGUUUUUUUGGGGGAAAACAGAGGGGCAAUUUCAGUGAGAAGUCAGAGGGCUCUGAAAUGGAGAAUCAGGGACUCGAGUAUAAUAAAAUGGUGCUUGCUCAAUAGACUGGAAAUACGGGUAAUGUUAAGGGUCGUUUGGUAGGAAGGAUACGGUUAGUAAUCCUGGGAGAAAAUACAUGAUUAUUUUAUCUUUGUUUGGUUAUAGGUAUUAAUAAGUCAUGUGCUAUAUGUUUUUUUGAAAUUAUCUUCCUGAUAAUCAUGUCAUAAGUCAAUUGUCCAUGGAAAGUGCGAUACACCAGCCGGCAUUGGUAAUUUUGCAAGAUGAAUAGGAUAAGGUAUGAAAAUAGGGUUUCAACAUAUAUUUGAAUAUUAAAGGUUGAUAGAAAAGAAACCGUUAGUUGAAGUAAAUGACGUGGAGUAAGAUUUAGGAUAUUUUGUAAAUGAAAAUUACUUAUGCCAAUAAGUGAGUGAAGUCAUUUCCACUCUUCUGGUGGAAAAUCAUGUGCAGAGAAAAUAUUUUCCAAAUUUUAGGAUAAGUAAACAGUAAGGAAAACAUUUUUGGAGGGAAAUGCUUUCAUCCAUACUGAACACACCACCUCAUAUAAUCCAUUGGCGGAUUUAACAAGCGUGCAGUUGGAGAUUUUAAGUAUAUCAAGCGUGCAGUUGGAGAUUUUAAGUAUAUCAAGCGUGCAGUUGGAGAUUAAAAAAAACAUAAAAGAUCAGUAAGAAACAUGUUACUUCCACGUGGGAUAUCACGCCCAUUUGGAAACAUUCCUCCAUUAGAGUAGACGACAAAGGUAAAAUAUAUAUACAAGUCUCAACUGUCAACGCUUCCAAAAGCUAUAACAAUCUUUAUGAAGACGACAAAACAAGCUUAUGGUAGAAGGUACAUUCGCAAAGAUAUGACCUACAUAAAACAAUUUUAACCAGAUAAAUGCUUACUUUGCGAGAAUAUAUGUACCAAAUGUCCUUUCACCUUUUCAGUAACGAAAUGAUGACGUACAUAAAUCUCCAACUUAUUUUACAAGAAUAUAUGUACCAAAUGUCCUUUCACCUUUUCAGGAACCAAAUGAUGAUUGACAAGCAGAAUUAAUAGCUAUCCAGUCUGAAGUAAGAUAGACAUUUGUCACUUGUACAUUCUCGUAAAGUAAGUUGGAUAUAUUCUCGCAAAGUAAGUUGGAUAUUUAUGUACGUCAUCAUUCAGUUCCUAAAAAGGUGAAAGCACAUUUGGUACAUAUAUUCUCGUAAAGUAAGUUGGAGAUUUAUGUACGUCAUCAUUCGGUUCCUAAAAAGGUCAAAGGACAUUUGAUACGUAUAUUCUCAUAAAUAAGCAUUUGUCUAGUUAAAAUUGUUUUAUCUACGUCAUCUUUGCGAAUGUACCUUCUACUGUAAGCUUGUUAUGUCGUCUUCGUAAAGAUUGUUAUAGUGUUUGGAAGCGGUGACAGUUGAAACUUGCAUACAUAUUUUACAUUUGUCGUCUAUUAUAAUGGAGGAAUGCUCCCAAAUGGGCUUGAUAACCCCCCGUGAAAGUAAUGUGUUUCUUAUUGAUCUUUUAUGUUUUUAAUCAUUGCUGUUUCUAUAUUUGCACUAGGUGCCACAUACUGGAUUAAAGAUGGUGGAGGCAUUGCAAGGAAAUUAGCAUCUUUUUGUAAUGGAGUUAUUGCAAUGGAUUACCCCAGAAUUGGGCUUUCAGAAGGCCUUCCUUCAUGGUUACAUACCAAGUUUUGACAAGCUGGUUGAUGAUGCCAUUGAGCAUUACUCAAAAGUUAAAGACUGCCUAUGAUGUCAUCUCUUACAAACAUAAAACCCGUCUACAGACCACCCUGGAGUUGCUGAAUGCCACAAAUGAGAUAGAGGGACUACUAGAAAAGGUGUGUCACGAGUUUCGACUUUUCUUUGAAUUAGUAUAGAAAUUCAUCACUGUGUUAAAUAUUUUCCAUUUAUGGGAGUUGCUCCACGGUCGGAAUGUAUUGCCCUGUGUUUGUAUUUAAUGAGGUUCCAGUUGUUUCUUGAUACUUAUUUUUUGAAUUAUGUAAUUUAUUCUAGUAGAUGUAUCAUCUUUAGCUCUUGACUCUAGUUUAGGAAACACUUGUCCUCAUUUAGCUUG